CCCUACGGGAGGCAGCAGUGGGGAAUCUUCCGCAAUGGGCGCAAGCCUGACGGAGCAACGCCGCGUGAAUGAAGAAGGUCUUCGGAUCGUAAAGUUCUGUUCUUAGGGAAGAAGUCUUAGGUUGUGAAUAAUGACUUAAGGUGACGGUACCUAUGGAGAAAGCUCCGGCUAACCACGUGCCAGCAGCCGCGGUAAUACGUAGGUGGCAAGCGUUGUCCGGAUUUACUGGGUGUAAAGGGCGUGCAGCCGGAGAGACAAGUCAGAUGUGAAAUCCACGGGCUCAACCCGUGAACUGCAUUUGAAAC
rnacentral:rRNA from 1 species